rnacentral:misc_RNA from 1 species
GCUGGUUUGUCUUUUAUCAUUAGCUUAGCACUCAUUCUGUUGUUGUUACACCAACUGCUUUUAACUUACUACAUUGAUAUGGAACAAAUAUAAUCUGCCUUCAUUAGCUCUAUCUUGUUUGAUGAUUAGGAAAUUCAAGGGAUUUUUUUAGACAAAGGGAAAAGUUUUUAGAUUGGCCAACAAAUUGGGAUUGAUUAAUUAUAUUUUUGGUGCAGAAAAUUAAGAAAAUAGAUAGAACAAGAGGAACUUGUGCAUUUUCAGGAAAGAAAAGUGAGUGGAGUGAAUGAUGCAGUAGUCAAAUAAGCCUUUAGAUUAAAACCAAAUACCAUAUUUUUCCUUUAAUCAAAAGCCUAGGGAAAUAACUAGGUUAACAGGUAUUUAAUUAGACUUGAAAGCUUAAUUUAUUUUUUAUGGAUUUUGACAUGGAAUGAUAGAGUUAGGAAAACAUAGACCAGAAAUUACACAAAAAGACAGAACAAGGAAAUGGUAGUAGGAAGAAGAUAGAGAUUUUUAUUCAAAAUACCCAAAGGGGUCCAGGUGAUUACAAGAUAAUACUAUCCCUCACCCUCCAGCACUACCAACACUACCUCCAAGGUUCAUAGAGCUGGAAAAUACAAAUUAUUCAAUU